AACCUCCAUAUGCUGAGGGAGCAGCCCAAGAAAUGGCAAAAAGACAAAAAAAAAACCAAAAAACAAAAAACUCUCAAGCUUGUUCCCCUUGGUGAACAAGAGGUUUAUAUGGACGGGAAGAGCCAAGAAGGCUUCUUGGAGGCGCUGAGAGUAGAGCCGAGCCUCAAAGGACCGUGUCACUUACCAAGAGACUUGGAGACUGGGGCGGUGAGGAAACCAUACUGGAGGGAGCCCAGGGGACUCUGAUGUCAACCUCAAGCUCCAGGAUGAGUGAAUGUAUUUUGUCUUGGGAACAGUAGGAGCCCGUGAUGGUUCUGGAACCUGGGUAGCCUUUGGCGGGACUUAAGUCUGGACGGAAGCCUUCAUCAAUCUGGGGUGGCCCUCUCUUGUCCUGCAGUGGCGUGUGGAGCUUCCAAGACCCCCAGGCACUUGUUGAAAGAUGAGAAAAACCAAGACGGAAGAGGGCAUGCCCCAAGGUCACGCAGCUGACCCGGAAUUCCUAUCUCCGUCUGUAUGAUGGCCAAGUCCGUUGCUCCAAAGCCUGAGCCUGACCCACCGCCUCAAGUAAAGGGCCUCCCCGACUCCUCCUGGAGAAGGGAGCGCAUUGGCUCUGGGAUGAGCAGCUAUCCCUUUAACGUGGUGGCUGGCCCACCUGUUACCUAUUAUCCUGCUUCCUAACACCGACAGCCAUGCCCUUGCUAUAGGGUGGAACUCUCGCCCCCGCAGAAGUCCGUCCUGGCACCUGGCCAUAGUUUGUCCUGUUGCAAGACUGCUCUUCUUGGCAGUCGGAGCUGGUGACUUUGUAACAGACCAUUAAAGACCCUGAUAAUGAAACAAACUCCAGGGGCAACUUGGAGCGUGGCUACGGGCGAAGGAUGUGUGGAGAGAUCAGGCAGGCCUGUGGAGACGGCUAAGGCCCCAGAGAAAGCCUGAGGGAGCCACGCCUGGAUCAAGAGGCCUCCUGGAGCCCCCUCUCACCAGGCCAGAGCUGCGCUGGUGGAGGGCUGCCACACAGGGGAACCAAGCUCCGGCCUCCACGCUUCUGCAUUCGGUCUUCCCAGCAGCCCUCUGAGGUCGUCAGGGUGGAAUGAGUCUUACUUGACAGAUGAGGAGACUCAGACGCGAGGUCCUGGAGUCCGUCUCCAAAGCACGUCGGAAGGAGGGCGAGGUCUCGCUCCGUUCUCCUGACUCCACGUGGAUAGUCUUUCUGCUUCAGGCAGGUGGUGCUGUGCUGUGUGCUACAGAUUCCACUGAGUGGGACCCUAAGGCCCAGCGGAACCCCCAUGGCUCCUCCUUGCUCAUUCCAGCAACGAAGAAAAAUGACUGCAUCUGCCCUGAGGACCGCUGUGCACAUUCUCUGAGUUGAUUCAUCAAAAGCCUUUAGCAGAGCGUGAGACUUGGAGGCCACCGUGCACAGAAGCUCAUUUGUGGAAGAGGAGGUUGGUGACUUGGUGGGGCCUCCCUUCUCUGUCAUCAAGGAUGCCCUCCUGUAGUGGCUCAGUGGAAAUGAA